rnacentral:rRNA from 1 species
UUCGUAGGCGGUGCGGCAAGUUGGGAGUGAAAUCUCUGGGCUUAACCCAGAGGCUGCUUUCAAAACUGCCGUGCUCGAGUGCGAGAGAGGUCAGUGGAAUUGCAGGUGUAGCGGUGAAAUGCGUAGAUAUCUGCAGGAACACCCGUGGCGAAGGCGGCUGACUGGAUCGCAACUGACGCUGAGGAACAAGGCUAGGGAGCAAACA